UUAAAAUAUAAAUAUACAUAGGUAGGUCUUAUCUUGUAAGUUUAUGACUUUCAAGUCUCACUAGAUCGAAUCGCUGGUAAACAUUGCAUUGUACAAAUGGAAAAGUGCGUAAAAACCAAAGAAUAUUUAUAGGGAACUCUCAUUGUACUUCAAGACAGCUUAGCACCUCAAUCACUCCUGCAGACUCUUUUUAUUAUGUUGUUUCGAGAAAGUUUCUUCGUAUUAACAAUUUGUGUUUCUUUAAGCAUAUUAAAAACUGUCAAUCUGAUGCCAAUGGUGGAAAAAAUUUCAAAAAACGACAACGAUCUUCUCGAGCAACAAGCUUUAUUAAAAAGUCAAUAUGAAACUUUUGACAAAAAAGUCCUGCCGAUUUAUAAAUACGAAAGAGAUGGAUACAACUAUGGAAGACCAGAAUUUCCAACCCCUAGAAGUACAGAAUUUAACAGCGUUUUUAGAGGUUAUGAAUACAUUCGGCCAGAUAUACCGUUCACUUACCCAACCUAUCGACCGGAAACUACCACAGAAUUUAUGUUUCCACCAGCAUCUGCAAGAAUAAUGUUGUUGCCUAAAUAAUUAAUACAUUCUAUACCAAAAAAUUAUAUUUUAAUAAAUAAAUUUAACAGAUUCCAAUAA